GCCAGUGUGGUGUGGUGGUUUGGGUGUUGGACUAUCACUGUAGAGACCAGGGUUCGAUUCCCAUCUCAGCCA